rnacentral:rRNA from 1 species
AAUGAACGUUGGCGGCGUGGAUUAGGCAUGCGAGUCGAGCGAGAACCGUAGCAAUACGGGGACAGCGGCGAAAGGGACAGUAACGGGUAGAUUAUCUGCCCUCAGGUUUGGGAUAGCUGCGGGAAACUGCAAGUAAUACCAAAUAAUAUCUCCGGAUCAAAGGUGUGAUUCCGCCUGAGGAUGAGUCUGCCUCCUAUCAGCUAGUUGGCGAGGUAAUGGCUCACCAAGGAGACGACGGGUACGGGGUGUGAGAGCAUGCCCCCGCUCACUGGGACUGAGACACUGCCCAGACACCUACGGGUGGCUGCAGUCGAGAAUCUUCCGCAAUGGGCGAAAGCCUGACGGAGCGACGCCGCGUGCGGGAUGAAGGCCUUCGGGUUGUAAACCGCUGUCAGUGGGGAGGAAAUGCACGGGGGUUCUCCCUCGUGUUUGACCGAUCCGCAGAGGAAGCACAGGCUAAGUUCGUGCCAGCCGCCGCAGUAAGAC